rnacentral:lncRNA from 1 species
CAGGUGCGGAACCAAUGGAGAAGUCACCACGACCUUGGCUAAGCCCCCCUCUGGAGAUGGGCUGCCUUCAAGAACACUCAAAAAAAUCACUGGAGCUGGACCAGAAGGAGGCUGGAAUAAGGUGGAUCCAGCUGUCACCUGCCUAGAUGAGGCCCACAACAAAUGGGACGGUAGGCACAGCAGGCGGUGGCCUCGAGGGCUCAGUAGGAGCCCUGGACCCAGGCUCCCAGCAUUUAACAAGUCCCCAAACUCAGGGACAGGCUGAGUGAGCUCAGAGAGAACAGAGGAUGAAAUUGUGGAUGGAGAUGAAUUACAAGCACGAGCAAAACAGGCUCUAUUUAUUUCUCACUUGAGGUUGUGGCCCGAGAAUGGAUCCACCUUGUUUCCUCCCAAGGACUGGAGGGGAACUGAAGGGCAGCUAUGAGGUGCAUCUCGCCGGCCAGAGAGGCGCUCAGUGCUGGGUAAGCAGCGAGCCCUGU